rnacentral:rRNA from 1 species
GACGAACGCUGGCGGCGUGCUUAACACAUGCAAGUCGAACGGAAAGGCCCUGCUUUUGUGGGGUGCUCGAGUGGCGAACGGGUGAGUAACACGUGAGUAACCUGCCCUUGACUUUGGGAUAACUUCAGGAAACUGGGGCUAAUACCGGAUAGGAGCUCCUGCUGCAUGGUGGGGGUUGGAAAGUUUCGGCGGUUGGGGCUGGACUCGCGGCUUAUCAGCUUGUUGGUGGGGUAGUGGCUUACCAAGGCUUUGACGGGUAGCCGGCCUGGGGGGGUGACCGGCCACCUUGGGACUGAGAUACGGCCCAGACUCCUACGGGAGGCAGCAGUGGGGAAUAUUGCACAAUGGGCGGAAGCCUGAUGCAGCAACGCCGCGUGCGGGAUGACGGCCUUCGGGUUGUAAACCGCUUUCGCCUGUGACGAAGCGUGAGUGACGGUAAUGGGUAAAGAAGCACCGGCUAACUACGUG